AUUGAACGCUGGCGGCAGGCCUAACACAUGCAAGUCGAGCGAGCGGCGGACGGGUGAGUAAUGUGUGGGAAACUGCCCGAUGGAGGGGGAUAAAUACUGGAAACGGUAGCUAAUACCGCAUAUCAUCUGAUGUGCCCAUAUGGGAUUAGCUAGUAGGUGGGGUAACGGCGCACCUAGGCGACGAUCCCUAGCUGGUCUGCGAGGAUGACCAGCCACACUGGAACUGAGAAACGGUCCAGACUCCUACGGGAGGCAGCAGUGGGGAAUAUUGCACAAUGGGCGCAAGCCUGAUGCAGCCAUGCCGCGUGUGUGAAGAAGGCCUUCGGGUUGUAAAGUACUUUCAGCGGGGAGGCGUUACCCGCAGAAGAAGCACCGGCUAACUCCGUGCCAGCAGCCGCGGUAAUUC
rnacentral:rRNA from 1 species